UCCAUUUUCUAACGCUUAUCCGGAUCGGGUCGCGGGGGCAGUAGCUUUAGCAGGGACGCCCAGACUUCCCUCUCCCCAGCCACUUCAUCCAGCUCUUCCGGGGUGGAUCCCGUGGCGUUCCCAGCCCAGCCGAAGGACGUUUAUGUGAAAAACUCACGGAGGCACGGGGAGACAUGCAAACUCCACACAGGCGGCGCCGGGGAUUGAACCCCGGUCCUCAGAACUGCACCUGCAGGCCAGCGCCGCCAUCUGCAUGCUCCCACCCAGCUCCGUGGACCCCCCUGCUGAUGCCACAAGCCCUGUCAGCGGUGACUUUGUGAGGUCGGAGGACAGCCUAAUGGGAAAGCACUGACCUGUGAUCAGCCGCCGGUCCAGCUGUUUGCUCCAGGCAGCUGCAUAAGAAUCAGUCAAGCCUUCCUGGACCUCCUGGACUACAUCCUUCUGCAGAACCAUGGGAACCUUUGUGAGAGCUCGCCGACCAGUCAGUACCUCCAACAACACCUGCAACACACAUAUAUAUAUAUAUAUAUACACACACACACACACACACACACACACACACACACACACAGACACACACACACACACACACACACCGUGAGGAGCGGCAUCACCCGGCCUUGAGGAAAAGGAGACAACAUUUAAGUCUGACCGGUUUGGUCACCACGCUCAUGUUGUCACCUCCUUGCAGCUUUACAUCCUAAUGCCACUGCUCUCAACAAUCUCAUCUAUCUACACCAUUAGCUAUUAUAGGGACUCACCACACCAAAGCUGUAGACAUCCACUGCCGUCCCCAGCUGUCCAUUCCUCACGUACUCCUCUGGCAGGUAUGCCAGCGUUCCUCUCACCGUGGACGUUCGACCCACUGUGGUCGUCUUGGAGGACAGAUGGCACGAUGAGUUGGUAGACACAAAACGAGCCAAGCCAAAAUCAGCCAGCUUUGCCACCAGGUGGCGGUCCAACAGGAUGUUUGAACUGCAAGAGGAAGUGGAAUUACAAGGACACAAGUAAACUAUUUGAUGAUUAUUUAAGUCGCACGUCUUCUGGAAAACAUAGAAGAAAUUUCUGAAGUCGCAAUUCGUACUACUGUGCUGUAUCAUUCUGUCAUAGUACAACAUCUGUCAAUAUCUCAGUAACAAAUAUUGAUAUCACUGCUGUUCAUUUUACGUAAAUUUUGACCAUUGAAUAUGAUGUGAAUGUCAGUAUUCUCUAUGUACUUUCAGUCGUGCCUAUGAAAACGGUUUUAUUGUUUUUAUACAUACUGCCCAAGUCUACAUAAACAUACAGUGGUUACAGCAAUAAAAAUAGAUGGACA